CAGCAGCCGCGGGAAUACGUAGGGGGCUAGCGUUGUCCGGAAUCAUUGGGCGUAAAGAGCGUGUAGGCGGCUUGGUAAGUCCGCUGUGAAAGUCCAGGGCUCAACCCUGGAAAGCCAGUGGAAACUGUCAAGCUAGAGUCCGGAAGAGGCGAGUGGAAUUCCUGGUGUAGCGGUGAAAUGCGCAGAUAUCAGGAGGAACACCAAUGGCGAAGGCAGCUCGCUGGGACGGUACUGACGCUGAGACGCGAAAGCGUGGGGAGCAAACAGGAUUAGAUACCCGGGUAGUCCCUGUCUCUUAUAC
rnacentral:rRNA from 1 species